CAAAAAUAUAUAAAUAUAUUCUAUCCCGCACUUUGUUUUGCGUCGAAACACAGUUCACGCCAGUACAGACUGGAAAAAAACAAAAAAACCACUUAGUGGCGACGUUAAAAAAACAAAAAAAAAAUUGACGUCUGAAAUGGAGUGAAAAAAUAUUUGAACAGGCCGGCUACCAACCGGGCGCUCUUAUCAAAGACAGACAGAUGCGUCACCGAGUUUGCAAGAUGUGGGGUGCUCUGGCGUCGAAAAAGACUGAGCGUGGCACAAAACAAAAAAGGCGCCAUCAUAUCGGAAGAAGGUUUUUUUUUUCUUUAUUAUUAUUGACAAGCGUCUCACCUUAUUCAUAGUGUGCAUAAGUGUAUGUCUACCUCUUAAAAAACACCGACAGAACAAUAAUCUCUCUUCCGUCUGUUCUCACGCAAGUGUCGCCAGUCGCACAGCAAACGAUUGAGAAAUGUCCCAGACAUCAGAAGACCCGACCUAGGCGACUCACGUCCGUUCCCGCUAGUAGAGCGGAGUCUCGAAGCCCAUCAGAAGGUUUGCGCUUAAGCCACAGUUAGCUGUCAAUUUUGGCGACAACGUUAAGUGAUGGGCAAUCACACCUGGACUCAAUCGUCUAGAAACUAAGUACUGACACACGGUUUCAUGUGUUUUAGAUUUCAACGAUGGACUUUUACGGGAGCCAUCUCAGGAAAAAUACCCGAGUCGUACACGUCGAUUAACGGCGCAGUCUCACUUGAGUGGGUGACUAUCGUCUGGGUUUCUGUUUAUUCGACUUCACUUUUCAAAUUUCCGGUUACUUCACCUAUACGAAUUUGGUGGUUGCAACAGCCCAAAAUCACAAGGAAAAAUAGAAAACGCAUUUUGUCAUGCCCCGUUAUUGUUGAUUUUUCACAGUGACGUCGUCUCGUUGGAGAAAGGAAAGAAAAAGCAACAAAAGAACACGUUCGAACGUCAAAAAAUGAAAGAAAAGUGAGUCGAAAACCAAGUUUCGGAAGGAAAAGCGUGACUAAUCUUUGCGCUAGUCUCAUGUUUGCUUUCGAAAUAACAAGUUAGGGUAACAGAGUUUAUGAAAUCAGUAGCAACAUGCUCAAUCGCAAGUAUCGACUAGAGCAUGUAACACAUUGUUCUCCAUCUGACUAAUCAAACGUUGAGAGGAGUCAUGCUCAAUCUCAACUAGCCCAAUGUGUUGAGAGCAUACGACAUUAUCUCGACAAAUGGAAGAUGGACUAGAAACAAAAGUUCAGAGGGAUUUCGUUCAGCACACGCUCUCUCUACUCGUCUUUUUGGCUCGCCCAGUUCAGGUCCAACCUACCACUGACUUGAUUACCUAUCGGACGGAAACGCACGUUUAUUUAAGCUAAAAAAAAGAAAAAGUCCCACACAAAUAUCUGUGCAACGUUAAAAGCUUUUCCAUGCCAGUCUGUUUUUUUGCUUCCCCUUUCUAGUCGUAAGUGGAAAUACUGCAGACUCAUUUGCGAUUCUAAUGAACUCAAAUAUUUUGGUCCUAUCGAAGCAAAUAAUAGAUAUAGACCCCUUCAGCACACACGUGGAGUUUCAGAAUGUGAACAGGACAAAAGGGAGGGAGAAGAAAAUGGUCAGGUCACUUGUUUUUGACACUGAUACCACAGAUUAUUACUAUGCCAGAAAAGCCAAAACUAAAGGGGUAUGUGCGUACACGGGUAUUGGCUUGUGUAGUACAUGUAAACCAUAUAAAAGAGACAAGCAUGAAAGAAGAAGAAAAAAAAGAACAAGGAGGGGUGCACUUUCGACUGUCGAAGAUCCCCCGUGAAUUGCCGAUUUUUGUUGUUGUUGUAUGUUCCGACUUGUGAAUGUGUGACAAGAGCUUUGCUUUUAUCUUGUUCCCCCCUUUUUCUUGUAGAUUUCGGUCCCCCCAUUGCUCUAGGCCAGCUCUGUCGUCGUCGACAGAGGGUUAACCAAAAUAUAUUAUAUUUUUACACA